GACAGAGGUCUCAAGCGUUAGGCGGAAUCACUGGGCUUAAAGCGUGUGUAGGCGGAUCGUUAAGUGCCUUGUGAAAUCCCACGGCUCAACCGUGGAACUGCUUGGCAUACUGGCGGUCUUGAGCCAUCUAGGGGUCGCUGGAACAAACGGUGGAGCGGUGAAAUGCGUAGAUAUCAGGAGGAACACCGGUGGCGAAGGCGGAUUCCUGGACCAGUUCUGACACUGAGGAGCGAAAGCUAGGGGAGCAAACAGG
rnacentral:rRNA from 1 species